CAGCCGCCGCGGUAACACGGAGGGAGCUAGCGUUGUUCGGAAUUACUGGGCGUAAAGCGCGCGUAGGCGGUUACUCAAGUCAGAGGUGAAAGCCCGGGGCUCAACCCCGGAACUGCCUUUGAAACUAGGUGACUAGAAUCUUGGAGAGGUCAGUGGAAUUCCGAGUGUAGAGGUGAAAUUCGUAGAUAUUCGGAAGAACACCAGUGGCGAAGGCGACUGACUGGACAAGUAUUGACGCUGAGGUGCGAAAGCGUGGGGAGCAAACAGGAUUAGAUACCCCAGUAGUCCCUGUCUCUUAUAC
rnacentral:rRNA from 1 species